CACGUAGUUAGCCGGGGCUUUCUUACGAGGUACCGUCAUUCUUCGUCCCUCGCGACAGAAGUUUACAAUCCGAAACCUUCAUCCUUCACGCGGCGUUGCUGGGUCAGGCUUGCGCCCAUUGCCCAAUAUUCCCCACUGCUGCCUCCCGUAGGAGUUUGGACCGUUUCUCAGUUCCAAUGUGGCCGAUCACCCUCUCAGGUCGGCUACCUAUCGUCGCCUUGGUAGGCCGUUACCCCACCAACUAGCUAAUAGGACGCGAGCUCAUCUCUAUCCGCCGGAGCUUUUACCCCAAAGUCAUGCGACUUCGUGGUCUUAUGCGGUAUUAGCACCUAUUUCUAAGUGUUAUCCCGCUGAUAGAGGCAGAUUGCUCACGCGUUACUCACCCGUCCGCCGCUAACGUAUUGCUACGUUCGCUCGACUUGCAUGUGUUAAGCACGCCGCCAGCGUUCGUCCUGAGCCAGGAUCAAACUCU
rnacentral:rRNA from 1 species